rnacentral:tRNA from 1 species
GGAUUGUGGCUCAGCGGCAGAGUGCUUGUCUCACACAUAUAAGGUACUGGGUUCGAUCCUCAGCACCA